GGGGGCGACUUGGCUUCGACGUGGAUUACGAAGCUUGAGGGGCAUGUCGAGGAGGUAGCUUAUCUCGUUAAAUCAAGCUGCAAAUUAUAGUUGCUAAUGAUGACAACUUUGCUGGGGACUUCGCUAUCGCUGCUUAAUUGCACUGAUAGUAACUCUCCCGCCGCUUAAAAACCGGCAGGCACCAUUACCCAGAUGUGCUUAUGCGUUCGGUGUUAAUGGUCAGAUACAUAAGACCGCCAUUAUUUGUGUCUGAUGGAUAAUGGUCAAACUAUUCAGACUCGUCUAUUGAAGUCCUGCCCGUUGGAUGACACUAGAUUAACUUAAAAACGCGGCUACACAUGUAGAACCGAAAGUAGAGGAUUUGCGGACGCGGGUUCAAUUCCCGCCGCCUCCACCA
rnacentral:tmRNA from 1 species